UGGCUUAUCCCAGGUCAUGUAAAGCAGGCUUUGCUUUUUUAAACUAAAUUGUUAAAAUUUAAAGGAUAAUUUUUUGUGAGGGGGUAUACUAUUAAUUUUAAGGAAACCUUUCAGAACUCUGUUUUGUCUUCAUGACCACUUGGAGGAAGCUAUACCAAUGAAGCUGUUGUAAUUCAAAAUUUGGGAACAUCCUACUGGAAAAGUAUGGGUCACAUUUUUAACGGUUUCCAAGAGGUGAUAAAAGUCAAUUUACUUUUUAUUUUUAUUUCUGGCACUGGGGAUCGAACUUAUGAUCUUGUGCUUACCAAGCAAGCACUUGAACCGCUAAGCUAAAUUUUUUUUGAGACAGUGUGUCUAAUUAUGUAGUUCAGAUUGGCUUUGACUGCCUGGGUAACCUCUUGAACUUGCAGUGAUCCUCCUGCCUCAGCCUCCUACUCCUGGGAUUUCGGGUAUGCCCCACCAUGCCUGGCUAAACUAAUACUGUAAGGUAGAUUGUAUUACUGUAUAUAAAUGGAGACCACUCUAAGCUUCAAAUUUGUAUGUCCUGUCGCCUGCCCUAUAGCUUAUUUAUGUUCUGGAUUGCAAACUCUUCAACUCCCUCCCGUACUGGGAGCAGGCUUCCUACCUCUUUCUUUGCUCAGCUCCAGAAACCUAGUUGUUAUCCUUGACAACUCCCUUGCUCUCAUCUUCCUUUAUCAACCAGUCACCAAGCCUUGGGCAUUUCCUUUCUUAAAUAUCGCUCACCCACCCACGUAUUUGCAUUUGCUGCUCACCACCUUAGUCUAAGUUACAUCAUCCCUUGCAGGCAUUCUGGCUUUCAGGCCAAACCUCAAACCCCAAAUUCCUCUUUAAAGUCUAUUAAUGUGGUGAUAGCUGAAUGGACCCCAAUUCUUUGUAAUGUUGCUUUUCCCGUUAAGAAUUGUGUCUCUUUUUUCUUUUUUUGUCUUUUUCCUUUUUAUCGGUACCGGGGAUCGAACUCACGACUGCCUGCUUGCAAGGCAGGUGCUUAUGCCGCUGAGCUAAACCUCCAGCCCCAAGAAUUGUGUCUCUUUUCCUGUCUCUUUGUCUGGGCUGACUGUAAUUAGCCUUGACCAACGGGAAUGUGCCAUAAAUCUGGUCCUUCAGCUUCGACUCUGACGCCUUGAAAUGCUGCCCUGAAGCCACCAUCGAAGUAGGGUUACACCACUGGGGAUGAGACCACACAGAGAACAGAGGUUCCCCAGCAGCAGCCAGAGCUAACUGUCAGGCACACUGGUGAGGCUCUGGGUGUCCCUGUUCAGCCAGCCUGCAAGCUGAAUGCAGCUGUGUGAAUGAGGUGAAAACAGCAACCGAUCCACACAAGCAUGGAAAAAAUUGUUUAAAAGCUGCUCGACUUUACUAGGUUUUGAUGUGAUUAGUUGUGCGUUCAUAGAUAACUGACAGAGGCUCUCCUGCUGUCCUUUGGAUAAACAUAAUAUCCUAAAAUUUGUAUGCUAGAGGCUGCUCUGUAUGUUCUGACUCAGGUAUGCCUCACAUUCUGUUUCCUCCUUAGACGCUCUGGAGACCUUCACUUUAUGGUUUGGAUCUUAAAUGUUCCCCAAAGCUUAUGUGUUGAAAGCCUGGUCCCCAGCGGAUGGCACCAUCUAGACAAGGUGGAAACUUCAGGAGCUCCUCCACCAGAGACAGGCCUGCAUUUUCUCUCUGUUCACCAAAUUGGACAUCUUCUACCUCAGAACAACCUCUCCUGCCCAUGAGAAAACUAUUCAGACAGUUGCUUGGAAUACACGUAUCGGGCUAGAGGAAAAGAAGUACAAAACAAGGAGGAAGUAUGGCUGAUAAUACCUUUAAAAACAAAAGAGCAAUAGCAUCAGACAGCUGCGACUUCCAUGAAUUAAGCAGCAAAACUAGGAAGCUGGAUCACUAGGUUCUACAGAAGUUGGGUACCCAGUCCUGCGGGUGCCUUGGUCCUUAAGAACAGUGACCAAGUGCCCUACUCCUGAGUCACUGAGGUGGACGGAGAGAAAAACUAGCUCAGAGAGUUUUCUAAUGCCCGGGAGCAAGACGACCAAUAUGUGAGGCAGAGACCUUCAUCUUGUAGUCCUCUACUAUUUCAUACACCAUGAGGAUCAAGCUGAGACUUUAUUUACAGUUCCCUGGGAAAUCUUACAGUAAGAGAGGAGCCAUCGUUAUUGCUUUAAGGUCAUUGACAGAUGAAGACUGCGGUCCUCCACUGCCAGGUAGGAAGUCCAGCCCAAGGCUCAGAAGUCUGUCCUCAGAACCUGGUUGGUCAGCCCUGUGUGUAUGCUGGUAACCAAAGGUGGUCACUGAUUUCUGCAGAGUACCACCCAACUCUGCUCUUUGUUCUAAGGCUACCCUGGCCACUUUUGCCAGCCUAUGCUAUACAUUUCCCUCUGCGGAGGUCAGUGGUAUGCCACAGUAUUCCCCACCCUUACCCAGUCUGCAAAAACAAGAUCUUAGUUCUAGGUUUAAGUCCUCGUCUACAUCCAGGUUAGGACGCAAGGAUCUGGUUUUCCCAAAAAUUAUCAUUUACUUCUUGCCAGGACCAGCCUGGCUUCUUUUGUAUCCAAUAAUAUAAAGACCCAUUUCCUGUGUCCCAAAUGACAUUACAACUCACUUAUUAGGUUCUUUUCCCCUGACAGUUCAAGGGCCAUUUUUGAGGUACUUUGCAUGUUUCUUAUGGUGUAUGUGUCGGGAUUUUUCUGGGCCUCGGCAAUAGGGAGAAGAGAGCAAGGAGCGAGACCAACAGGCAGAGAGGGGACGACCCAUAGCUCAUGCCCAGGGUUAGCAAGAAGUCCUACACGGACGCAGUAGAGAGCGAGUGGACUACUUUCUCCCUUAAGCUCCACUGCGGAAGGAUAUGGCUUUGUUCAUGCGCAGCGCUACUCGAAGCCGGGACUCGUUAGUGGGCGGGGCCACCCGGGCUCUGGCCACUGCGUAGAAGGAUCCGGGAUGGGGUUUGCUGACCAGUGCAGCGACCUGCGUUGGGUGUUUGCGCCCCUUGAGGGACUAUUUCUUGAGAUGCGAUUUGUUGCCCAGAAGUCCGUCUAUCUCCAUCACCGUUUGCGGCGUCAGCUGGCUCAAUACCUGGAGGAGGGGAGGUGGUGGACAGGGCAGGUCCUACCGGGUCGCUGAGAAAGGCUUGGAGUUACAGGGCUGCGGGGAAGCACCAUAGUUGCGGGUGGAAGGAAAGAGUCACAGCUGUACUCCCUGGCCUUAAGCACUGAGGUCUUUCACAGGGCACCCAGGUGUUCCAUCAGUUGUUCUGCACUUGACACUCCCAGCAAGACGGAACUGACACCCUCACUGCGAAGACACCAGGCUGGAACCAGAAGAGGACAGAAAGGAAGGCGGGGCCUUGCAGGUAUCUGGGACUCGGCCCUCAUACUUGCUGGUAAUGAGUCCACAGGCCAGAGGAGACCAAGUGACUGAGCCAACUCCUAAAAGAAAAAGAAGGAGGCACACAGGAGAAGGAGAGUCUCACUGUCAGACCGUGACAUUUAAGACUCCAGAUCUGCAUACCUUUGCCCACCCUGCCAAGACCCUGGGUGUCUUCAUGCAGCAGAAAGGUUUGGGUCUGUUCUUUGCCUGUCUGCCUACGUCCUGGGGUCUGAGCCUCUGCGAUGGCGCAUAGGAGGUCUUGGGGUGCAGCUGGCUUCCUGCUGAGGGGUGAGGAAAUGCCCCGUUUUGAAGGGCUGUCAGAUUUGGGGGAGUGAUUUACCCUCCAUAGGACUGUUCGGAUCUGAGCAAUUGGCAAAGACUAUGUCCACGUAUCCCAGCUGGAGGCGGUCCAAGGAUCCUCGCAAGCCUGGCAGUGGGAGUAGGAAGAGGAAGGCUGGGCUCAGCUUUUGAUCCUCCCAACUCAGCCUCCCAGAGUGCAGAGUGUUCCAGCCUCCCGGAGUUCUGGAAUUACAGGCAUGUACCACCACUCCCGGCUCCAUUUGUUCAUUCAUCCAACAAAUAUCUGCUAUGGAACUGUGAACCAAGUCCUGUUGUGGGUACUAACAGGACAGAUUAGGAUGGCCAGAGACGGACAGACUAGUGAAGACUGGAAGACGCUGCUUUGUCUGGUUUCAGCUAUCUGAGUUGCCCUCCCCGUUCUCUGAGCUUCAACAAAAUCCCACCCAUUAUCCAUCCUAAACUCAGCUUGUGUUCUACCUCAUCCAUAAAAUGUUCUCUGAUCGCUGCACUUACUCAUAAAAUUGGUUCCUCAAUUCUUGAGUAUCCUAUUUGUCAUUAUGAGCUAACUUGUGACAAGUCUUAAAUUGUUAUGAAAAGGGGCUGGGGAUUUAGUCCAGGGGCAUAAGUGCCUGCCUGGCAAGUGCAAGGUCGUGAGUUCAAUCCCCGGUACCAUAAACCAAAUAAAUAGUUAUGAAGGACUAUACUGAAAUGUUUUCUGUUGUUUAAAUGUGUAUACCUCCUCUAUCUUUUUUGUUUAACAACUUAAAAAGUGUACACUCCCCCAACACUCACACAGGAGAUUGAAUCUGGCUUUGUAUGUACUAGGAUGAGGGAUUGAGUUAUAUCCUCAGCUUUUUAUUUUAUUUUAUGACCGGGUCUCCCUAAAUUGUCCAAGUUGGCCUUGAACUUGAAGUCCUCUUGCUGAGCCUGCCACAUAGCUGGGACUGCAGGCACGUGCCAUUGCACCUGGGCAGAAUGCACUUUUCGAGAGCAUGUUGAUUUCAUACUGUAAGGAGUGUCAGAGGUACUUGGGAAAAAGCAAGACAGGUUCCAUGAAAGGAAAGGUCCUGAAUCGAGCAGCAAAUACAGGUAUAUAACUUGGUACAGAAUGUGUGUCAGAAGGCAGUAUAAAGUGCUGUGGAAGUUUAUGGGGCAUGGUGACUAAUUUUGGAAGUUGGGCAAAGGCUUCUUGGAGGAGCUGAUAUGGGGGCCAAGUCCUGAGAUGAACGGAAGAGUUUUCCAGAUGGAGAAGAGGUGGGGUCGGUCAGCCCAGGCUGUGGCUUCUCGUGGUAGGAAGUCAUAGGUAUGUGGUAUGGAAUGGUUAUGUUUGAAAGUACAGUUCUGCAAUCCCCAAAAAACUGUACAUAACCGAUGUCCAGGUUAUAUUUUUGGUCUUACUUAGUGUGACUAUAUAGUGUGUCUGUUGACCCCUAAACCAGAGACGAACUAUGUUGACACUACAACUCCCCAUAAACACGCAAGUGUUCCCUGAAUUCCCAGGAUUCUUCAGAGAGAAAGAAGAACCCUUGAUGUGCACUCAGCCCUCCAAACGUGACAGCGCCUUCGCUCCAGUCCUUACUUUCCUGCUGCAUACACUUCGGCGGUGUCAAACAGGUUUACACCAUGCUCAUAGGCUACUGUCAGCACAUCCUCUGCUGUCUGCGGAGGGGAGAGAAAAAGUUGACGUCACCCACUUCCCUCAGGUCCUUCCCGGGAUGCACUCUACCCCAUGUGAUUUCUGUACUUUCCCCCCUUUCCUCUAUCCUCCAGCUUUAGCAUUUUCGUUUCCCAUGCUUGUUGUGCCCACCCCUUUUCAGGUCCGUUUUUCACCUUUCUGCCUCCCUCCCCACCCCGCUCCCCACCCUACUUCUAGAACCCAUCACUUAUACCUCGUCUGAGAUCUGAGAACCGAAUGUGACCCAGGUACCUGUAAGGGAAAAGCCAGCUACAUGAGAACUGUGGGAGGCAGGCUGCGAAGAAUCCCCUCUUCCCUUAAUUCCUAGUCUGACUCACCCAAGCCAAGACAGGACACCCGAAGACCAGACUUUCCUAGGUUCCUGCAAAAUAGAGAAACAGCAGGAAAGGUUGGACCCUCCAUUAGGGACCUAAGGGUAUAGGUCUCCACCCCCAUUCUGUCCAGAUGGAGAAGUCCCCAGGGUCUCAGUCCAAAGCAACUAGGCUUAUGUUGGAACUUAGGACGCUGUGAAACCAAACAACCAGCCUGCCUCCCUGCUAAGCAAUAGUGAACCUACUGAUGCUCGGCCUAGAGUCAAACAUCCCACUUCCCUUGCCCCCCUUCUCCCGUGUGUCCCCGCACCCCCACCCUUAGCAAAUGGGAACCAGAAAUCUGAGCGUCUCCUGGGAGGCUGACCAUAGCAAAUAAGGGGGGUUUCCUUCUACCAUCUCUGAAGGCAAAUACUUUUAUUACUGUUUUGCUUUAUUCUGAUUAAUGGUACUGCUCUAUUCAAUAUUGUGUUGAUAAGUUCUAUAAUGUUCUGUAUUUCAUCUCAUUUUGAUAUACGUGAUUGAAAGAACAACUAUCAUAAAGAUAAUGAAAUAUACUGUGGUACCUAUUACUGUUAUCCAGAUAACCUGCUGUGAAGUUCUGUACCAAUUUCACUGUAUGAUCUUAGUUGGCUUUAUUCUGUCUUGUUCUGUUGUAUUUUACCACUUUCAAAAUAAAAUUAAAAAAUUAAAAAAAAAAAAGGCAACUAGGCUUAGGUGGCCUACAGCACUGUGUCUGUGGAGCCUCUGUCCAGUGCCUCUCCUUUCCUAUCACACUGAA